AACAUGGCCUUUUGAAUUUGAUUUAAGGUCCGGCCUGCCCAAUGAAUAAUUUUAAUGGCUGCAGUAUUUUGACUGUACAAAGGUAGCAUAAUCAUUAGUUUUUUAAUUAAAAGCUUGUAUGAAUGGCUUAAUGAGAAAGAUUCUGUCUUUAUUUAAAUUUUUAUAGAAAUUUAUUUUUAAGUUAAAAAGCUUAAAUUUGUUUAAAAGACGAGAAGACCCUAUAGAGUUUUAUAAGCUAAUUAAUAGUUAAUAUUUAAGUAUAUAAUUUUAUUUGAUUAAUAAGUUUAUUUGGUUGGGGUGAUUUAAAAAUUUAAUAAACUUUUUAUUUUUUGAACAUAAAUAUAUGAGUAACUGAUCCAUUUAGAUGUGAUUAAAAGAUUAAAUUACCUUAGGGAUAACAGCGUAAUUUUUUUGGAGAGUUCUUAUCAAUAAAAAAGGUUGCGACCUCGAUGUUGGAUUAAAAUUUACUAUUGGCGCAGAAGUUGAUGGGUUAGGUCUGUUCGACCUUUAAAAUUUUACAUGAUCUGAGUUUAAACCGGUGUGAGCCAGG
rnacentral:rRNA from 1 species